rnacentral:rRNA from 1 species
UACGUAGGUGGCGAGCGUUGUCCGGAUUUAUUGGGUUUAAAGGGUGCGUAGGCGGUCUUAUAAGUCAGUGCUGAAAUAUCCCGGCUUAACCGGGAGGGUGGCAUUGAUACUGUAGGACUUGAGUAAAGUUGAGGUAGGCGGAAUUGACGGUGUAGCGGUGAAAUGCUUAGAUAUCGUCAAGAACACCAAUAGUGAAGACAGCUUACUAAGCUUUAACUGACGCUGAUGCACGAAAGUGUGGGGAUCAAACAGG